rfam:Neurospora crassa OR74A unplaced genomic scaffold supercont12.9, whole genome shotgun sequence.
UACUUAAUUAAUUCUAUUAGUAGUUAUAUGUUUAUUUUAAAGAUUAAGCUAUAUAUAUUUAAAUUUAAGUAAUUAAAUUAUAAAAUUACGAAUAGCUUAUUAAAUUAAUUAUAGUUUAUUUAAUAGUACUUUACUAUAUAGAUAACCGUAGUAAUUCUAAAACUAAUAUAUAUUAAAAACCCUAAUUUCGGAAGGGGUAUAUUUAUUAAAUUAAAAACUAAUACCCUUCGGGGUUAACUAGUAAUUUAUAAUAACUUUUCGAAUCGUAUAGCCUUAUGUUGGUAAUAGUUUAUUUAAAUUUCUACCCUAUUAAUUUUCAACGGCUAGGUCUUAGCUAACUAUAGUAAUAAUAGGUAAUAGAGGGUUAAAGUUCGACCCUAGAGAAAGAGUUUAAGAAACGGCUAUUAUAUCUAAGGAAGGUAGUAGGCGUGCAAAUUACCUAAUUCCGAUAUAGGGAGGUAAUAAUAAUAAAUAUUAAUAUAAAGCUCUUUUAGGUCUUAUAAUUAGAAUAAAUAUAAUUUAAAUCCUUUAACGAGGAAUAAUUGGAGGGCAAGUCUAAUACUAAUAGUUACGGUAAUUCUAACUCUAAUAGUAUAUAUUAAAAUUAUUAAAGUUAAAAAACUCGUAAUUAAACCUUAAGCUCGGCCUAUUAGUCUAUCUUACCGCAUAUAUUAAUUAGGUUGGGCUUUUUUUCUUAGAGAACCAUAUACCCUUUAUUAAGUAUAUUGGGGAAUUAGGACUUUUAUUAUAAAUAAAUCAGAUUAUUCAAAGAAAGCCUAUAUUCGAAUAUAUUAAUAUAGAAUAAUAGAAUAGGACGUAUAGUUUUAUUUUAUUAAUUUCUAGGACUACUAUAAUAAUUAAUAGGGAUAGUCGGGGGUAUUAAUAUUUAAUUAUUAGAAGUAAAAUUCUUAAAUUUAUUAAAAAUUAAUUACUAUAAAAGUAUUUAUUAAGGAUAUUUUUAUUAAUUAGGAACGAAAGUUAGGGGAUUGAAGACAAUUAGAUACUAUUAUAAUUUUAAUUAUAAAUUAUACUAAUUAAGGAUUGGACGGUAUUAUUUUUUAACCUAUUUGGCACUUUAUAAUAAAUUAAAAUAUUUAGGCUUCUAGGGGAGUAUAGUCGUAAGGUUAAAAUUUAAAGAAAUUAAUAGAAGGGCACUACUAGGGGUAGAACCUACGGUUUAAUUUAAUUUAAUAUAGGGAAAUUUACUAGGUUUAAAUAUAAUGAGGAUUAAUAAAUUGAAAGCUCUUUCUUAAUUUCGUAGGUAGUAGUGUAUGGCCAUUUUUAAUUAGUAGAGUAAUUUAUUUAUUUAAUUACAAUAACGAACGAGACUUUAACCUAUUAAAUAGCCUAUAUUACUUUAGUAGUACGCUAACUUCUUAGAGGAACUAUUAGUUUAAACUAAUAGAAAUUUAAGGCAAUAAUAGGUCUAUAAUACCUUUAAAUAUUUUAAGCUAUACGCGCGCUAUAUUAAUAUAGUUAGUAAGUACUCCCUUAACCGGAAGGUCCGGGUAAUCUUAUUAAAUUAUAUUAUAUUAAGAAUAGAGUAUUAUAAUUAUUACUCUUCAACAAAGAAUCUCUAAUAAACGUAAAUUAUUAAUUUAUAUUAAUUACGUCCCUACCCUUUAUAUAUACCGCCCAUCGCUACUACUAAUUAAAUAAUUUAAUAAAACUUCCAAAUUAACUUAAGGAAGUCGGUAACGACUACCUAAGAUUAGAAAACUAUUUAAAUUCAAUUAUUUAAAAGAAAUAAAAGUCGUAAUAAAAUCUCUAUUAAUAAACUAAUAAAAGGAUUAUUA